rnacentral:rRNA from 1 species
AUUCCAGCUCCAAUAGCGUAUAUUAAAGUUGUUGCAGUUAAAAAGCUCGUAUUUGAAUUUUUGUCUGUUGGGGCCUUGUUCUGUCCUUAGUGGCGGAGUUUAGUGUCCCGACGGACUUCCUGGGGGCCAACUAGUUGGUGUUUCAUUACACUGAUUAGGGAACCCCCUCGUUUACUGUGAAAAAAUUAGAGUGUUUCAAGCAGGCGUUUCGCAUUGAAUACAUUAGCAUGGAAUAAUAAGAUAGGACUUUGGUGCUAUUUUGUUGGUUUGCACACCAAGGUAAUGAUUAAGAGGGACAGUUGGGGGUAUUCGUAUUAUCAUGUCAGAGGUGAAAUUCUUGGAUUUUGGUAAGACGAACUACUGCGAAAGCAUUUACCAAGGAUGUUUUCAUUA